rnacentral:rRNA from 1 species
AUGCACGCUGGCGGCGUGCUUAACACCUGCCAGUCGCACGAUGAUGCCCAGCUUGCUGGGUGGAUUAGUGGCGAACGGGUGAGUAACACGUGAGUAACCUGCCCUUGACUCUGGGAUAAGCCUGGGAAACUGGGUCUAAUACCGGAUACGACCAUCUGGCGCAUGUCAUGGUGGUGGAAAGCUUUUGUGGUUUUGGAUGGACUCGCGGCCUAUCAGCUUGUUGGUGGGGUAAUGGCCUACCAAGGCGACGACGGGUAGCCGGCCUGAGAGGGUGACCGGCCACACUGGGACUGAGACACGGCCCAGACUCCUACGGGAGGCAGCAGUGGGGAAUAUUGCACAAUGGGCGCAAGCCUGAUGCAGCGACGCCGCGUGAGGGAUGACGGCCUUCGGGUUGUAAACCUCUUUCAGUAGGGAAGAAGCGAAAGUGACGGUACCUGCAGAAGAAGCGCCGGCUAACUACGUG